CUGCCGCUAGAUGGGGUGGGGGUGAAAGCAGUCCUUCUAAAAUCUCGCAUAAUCUCGUUUGCGGUUUUACACCAGAAUUUAACAUGGAGCGUGGGCACGCGUCGCUGACUGUGAACCAACUCAAACGCGAAUUACUUGAAUGUGGUGCCAUAACAACAUGAAGAAAAUGUGAAUUGAUUGAAAGGUUCUCCAAAGAAGGCCCAUAAUAUUGGGGGCAAUGCAAACUGUCGGUUACUGGACCCCAGGCCAGCCAACUUCAGACAUCGAGCAGGAUACAAUGAUUACUUCAGGAAUCUGACUUCACAUCAGUGCCAAAGAUAGAUGUAGCCACCAGAUAUGCCUACCCUAAAGCUGACUUACAGGCGGCAGUGGUGGACCACGACUAUUGCCAAGUGCCAUGGAUAGAAUAAAGCAUUGAUAGAGGGAAUGAUGUUGGGGAACAAACAGCAAGGACACUGAGCGUAGCACGUUACAACAAGGAAAGAGCGCAAUCUGGCACAAUGAGAGACAAUGGCAGUUCAUUGCUUCCAAAUUUGGAGAUAUAAUGGCAGCUACAGAGAAGAACAAACUGCAUGAGUCACUGUUGUGUCCAAAACCAUUGCAGACACAUGACAGUUGGUCCCAGACCUGAUUUCUCCUUUUUGGAAUGUGUAUCUGGUGCUCUGCGCCUAAAGAAAACACACAAAUACUAUACUCAGUUACAAGACCAGAUGUUCAUUACAAAUCCUCACUCUGCUAUUUUGUUGUGUUUACACGCAAAGAUCUGUUCGUGGAGUUGAUCCAUUCUGACACUGGAUAUUUGACAUGCAUUUUUCCCAGGCGCACCUUAUUUUAUGAAAAACACUAUAGGAAGUAUGUGGCAGCUAGUUUGUAGAAAGUAUGAGAUAGCUUAGCUGCAAUCACAAUUUUGAAGUGUCAUUGUGAAAAACAUGUUUUAGCUAAAAUGA